rnacentral:misc_RNA from 1 species
CGAUAAUAGAUUUAAUAGUCUUCUUCUUGAGUCAGACGCGGUGUCUGAUGGGCUUGGGCGACCGAAGCGGCCGGCGAGGAGGUUGCAUGUCAGUCUCCAGGUGGGCGUCUCUUCACGCACACUUCUCAAUAUCCGUGGGUAGCCGCCGAGGUCAUAAACGUAUGUGCUGAUGUGUUGUUGUUGUCCCUUCACCUGAACCUCAGUAGCACAGGAGUCAAAGAUCAACAUGCAGUGGAGCAGGUGGAGUGAUAAGGUCAUAUUUGUGACCUCUAUAUUCUUAGCACUUAUGAGGUUGAGAAUAUCACUGUUGGUCGAAGCAUCGUCGGCGCCUACCGAGGCUGUUGUCUCCGCGGCGUCCCUGUCAUCCGCGAGUAGCCCCGAGCUACAACUGUCAUCCUCGAGUAGCCCCGAGCUACAACCGGACGCUCCUGACGCUCUGGGGCUAAGAAUGAAGGAACCAGAUCGAGGCUCCAAGAACUGGAACAUCUCCCUGCUGGUGGGUGUUGACAGGAGCCUCCUUCAGGGACCAGCAAGGAGAGUACUCACAGGUGAGGGUGACAGCCAGACGUCGCCUGCAGCGGAGUUGGCCCACCUGCUCAGCCAAGCCGUUCAGAUUCAUCUACCUGAUUGCCAGAAGGUGGUCUUAUACAAGUACUCGAGCAACGCCACCAGGACCGGCGGGGGAGACGACCAGGUGGAGUCUCAGUUCAACCAGCUGGUGGCAGCCCUGGUCAACCAGUUUGGGAGAGACUGGGAGGACAUCUGGCUGUGGGAGUUGGACGCCUUCCUCGCGAGGACAUCCCCCACCUACAGUGUCAACACGAAGCCUCACAGAAGCACCCAGGGCGAAUACUGUGUAGCCUUCAUCGUUCUGGCGGACCUGGAGUCAGUGGGAGAAGCGUUCACUAACAUACGGAAGGGUUCAUGGUUCGAGGGAUCCACCAAAUACACCUUGGCGUUCUCUGGUGACCUGGUGACUGCUAAUCAGGUGAUCUCCCAUCGUCUCCUGAGAGAGAGUUCCAACUUAGUGGUAGUCUCGCGGGUGCUGCAGGAUUCUCUGGGUCCCCUAGAGAGGAGGUCCCUAGCGAGGGGGUCACCAGUGAGGGGGUCACCAGUGAGGGGGUCACCAGCGAGGGGGUCCCUAGCGAGGGGGUCCUCGGAGCCCCGUGUGUACCAGAUGGUGCAGGUCUGUCCAUACUGCGCAGCUGGGAGUCCCCAAGUGAGGGUAGUCGCUGAGUGGAGUCCCACCUCAGGCUUCUACAGUGAUGACCCGCUCUUCCCGGAUCUAUUUCAGAACUUCCAGGGUCACCAGUUCCGUGUGGUGACGCUGGUGUACGAGCCCUUCAGCUGCUACCACAAGGAGGGCAGCCGCAUCAUGCCGGCUGACAACUGCAUUGAUAACAACAUGCUGAGGGAGAUCUCCGCCGUACUCAACUUCACCUAUGUCUUCGUGGAGCCCAGCGAUGGCCAGUGGGGCCACAGGCUUCAGAACGGCAGCUAUACAGGUGUGAUAGGAGCGGUGGAGAGGAUGGAGGCAGACUUCUCCCUCAACGUGGCCAUCACCCAGGACCGGGAGGAGAAGGUUGACUGCACCAUUGGCUACCACGUCGAGCCAAUCACCUUCGCUACCUCCAAACCCCGGCUCCUCAACCAGGCUUUGGCGCUGCUCAGGCCCUUCACACACGAGGUGUGGCUGGCCUUCGCAGCCACACUGGUGCUGGCUGGACCUUUCUACUACAUGGUGUGUCGUCUGUCCUCCCGGGGCGACGCCACCCUCGCCCCUCCCUCGGUCAUCAGGGCCUGCUUCUACGUCUUCGGCGCCUGCUUCAACCAGAGUGUCAAGUGGGUGUCGGACCCGGGCGCUCGGAUCUUCAUGAUGACGUACGUGCUGACCAUGUUCGUGACGGUGACGGUAUACGUGGCCAUGCUCACCGCCACCCUCACGCUCCCAGCACUCUCCCCGACCCUCAACUUCCUCCAAGAGCUCAUCGAAUCCGACUUCACUUGGGGUAUUCAGGACCUGGGAGCAGCCGACUACCAGCUGCUGAAGACCUCGGAGGUGCCCCUGUACCGGCAGGUGUACAGGGGACUGAAGCCCUGCCCGGCCCUCGACGCCUGCAUCACCAAGGCCCGAGACACCAAGUACGCCUUCAUCACCUGGCGUACCUACCUGGAGGACCGCAUUGCUGUCAGCUUGUGCCUACAUCACCUCCCCCAGGUUCACGAGUGCCACGGGGGAACGGCAGCUACACGUGGCCACAGGGAACAUCUUCCCCGUGGAACUGGGCUGGGCUACGAACCCUGGGUGUCCGUAUCGUCACCACUUCAAUCACAUAAUCCGAUCCCUUCUUGAGAGUGGCCUUGUUGCUAAGUGGCUCCGCGACCUGAUCAACGACCCGAAGCGACGGGAGGCGGACCCCUCAGUCCUCCAGCUUCAGGAGACGAACCAGGCCCUCGGUAUGAACCACCUCCAGGGCGUGUUCUUCCUGUUAGUGAUGGGACACUCCCUCUCCU